rnacentral:miRNA from 1 species
GAGCAGACUAUGGAGAGCAAGCCCGUAAGCAGCGUAAGCUACGGAGGAACGUGGAACGCUGCUUAUGAGCUUGCUCUCCAUAGCCUCUGCUU